rnacentral:rRNA from 1 species
UACAGAGGUGGCAAGCGUUGUUCGGAAUUACUGGGCGUAAAGGGCGCGUAGGCGGCCAUCUAAGUCAGACGUGAAAUCCCCCGGCUUAACCUGGGAACUGCGUCUGAUACUGGAAAGCUUGAGUAUGGGAGAGGGAUGUAGAAUUCCAGGUGUAGCGGUGAAAUGCGUAGAUAUCUGGAGGAAUACCGGUGGCGAAGGCGGCAUCCUGGACCAUUACUGACGCUGAGGCGCGAAAGCUAGGGGAGCAAACAGG